UCCGGAGGGUGCAAGCGUUAAUCGGAAUUACUGGGCGUAAAGCGUGCGCAGGCGGUUUGUUAAGUCCGUUGUGAAAGCCCCGAGCUCAACUUGGGAAUUGCAGUGGAUACUGGCAGGCUGGAGUACGGUAGAGGAAGGUGGAAUUCCCGGUGUAGCAGUGAAAUGCGUAGAUAUCGGGAGGAACACCAGUGGCGAAGGCGGCCUUCUGGACCAGUACUGACGCUCAUGCACGAAAGCGUGGAGAGCAAACAGG
rnacentral:rRNA from 1 species